GCAAAGUCCCAAGCAGAAGAGGGGCAUCUGGUGGAUCUGGCCAAGUUGUUUGAUCGGUUGAGAUAACACAGACUGAGGUUGAGUCCGAGGCAGUACACUUGUGGAGUGCUGUCUGGUAGGUUGCCGAGGCUUAUUGUGAACGAAAGAGGAAUCGAGGUCGAUCCUGCUAAAAAAAAAAAAAAAAAGAAAGAAAAGAAAGGAAAAAAAGAAAAAGCAAUACAAGAAACGCCUGAACCGAGCACAGGAAAGAAGGUUCGUGGUUUCUUAGAUAGAUUGAAUUGCAUUU
rnacentral:lncRNA from 1 species